GCUCCGUUGGUGAACCAGCGGAGGGAUCAUUACCGAGUUAUCAACUCCCAAACCCCUGUGAACAUACCCAACGUUGCUUCGGCGGGACCGCCCCGGCGCCCUCGGCGUCCCGGAACCAGGCGCCCGCCGGAGGACCCAAACUCUUGUUUAAACCAUAGUGGCAUAUUCUGAGUCCCACAAGAAAAAUGAAUCAAAACUUUCAACAACGGAUCUCUUGGCUCUG
rnacentral:misc_RNA from 1 species